GCAAACACUACAAUGUCUUGUGGAAAAUACACAGGAAGCAUUAUGGUGCAUGUUACAGUUUUGGUAGUUUUUUGGUCAAAAGACUUUCUGUCCCAAGACAAAAUAAUUUGUCCAUGUUAUUGCAAACGAAUUGGAUGGGGCACAUGCCUUUAGAGACCUACUGAUAGUAUUCUUAAAAUUGGAAUCAAUGUUAAAGAUUGAGAGUAGAACUGAUAAUAUUAAAAGGAUUGGAUAAAAUAAAAAAUUUGAGAAAAGGUUAUGGUUUUUAUGGCCAUUUGGCUUUUUA
rnacentral:misc_RNA from 1 species